rnacentral:rRNA from 2 species
AUGGAUUAAGAGCUUGCUCUUAUGAAGUUAGCGGCGGACGGGUGAGUAACACGUGGGUAACCUGCCCAUAAGACUGGGAUAACUCCGGGAAACCGGGGCUAAUACCGGAUAACAUUUUGAACCGCAUGGUUCGAAAUUGAAAGGCGGCUUCGGCUGUCACUUAUGGAUGGACCCGCGUCGCAUUAGCUAGUUGGUGAGGUAACGGCUCACCAAGGCAACGAUGCGUAGCCGACCUGAGAGGGUGAUCGGCCACACUGGGACUGAGACACGGCCCAGACUCCUACGGGAGGCAGCAGUAGGGAAUCUUCCGCAAUGGACGAAAGUCUGACGGAGCAACGCCGCGUGAGUGAUGAAGGCUUUCGGGUCGUAAAACUCUGUUGUUAGGGAAGAACAAGUGCUAGUUGAAUAAGCUGGCACCUUGACGGUACCUAACCAGAAAGCCACGGCUAACUACGUGCCAGCAGCCGCGGUAAUACGUAGGUGGCAAGCGUUAUCCGGAAUUAUUGGGCGUAAAGCGCGCGCAGGUGGUUUCUUAAGUCUGAUGUGAAAGCCCACGGCUCAACCGUGGAGGGUCAUUGGAAACUGGGAGACUUGAGUGCAGAAGAGGAAAGUGGAAAUUCCAUGUGUAGCGGUGAAAUGCGUAGAGAUAUGGAGGAACACCAGUGGCGAAGGCGACUUUCUGGUCUGUAACUGACACUGAGCGCGAAAGCGUGGGGAGCAACAGAUUAGAUACCAUGGUAGUCCACGCCGUAACGAUGAGUGCUAAGUGU